AUCAUUGUGGUUCUGGGCCUGCUGGCUGGAUUUGCCUCUCAUUUUGGUUCAGCUUUGGGUUUGCUCUCCCUCCCUCGGCACUCUGAUCUUUGUGGCAUCGUGUGCUGAUUUGAAAUGGAGUCCUGCGCUGCCACGAAGUUCACAAAAGAAGAUUUAAUGCCCCUGUGACUGCCGGUUAAUUCAUUUCCGGACAUCAGAGGCGCUUUUAUGAGCCCCACAUCAUAUGCCAUAUGGAAUCUCAUUAUGAGCUCCCUAGAGCUUCUGUUCGUGCCAUCUGUCUGUGACUUCCUGUGUGGGUUCUCCGGCGGACGGGGACUCGCCUCUCAGAAAUGCUUCUGUCGAGACCGAAUACAAUACCUGACGCUAGGAGUUCAGUGAAUUUUCGUUAACCUGAACUGAGAAUUGACUCCUACCCUGUGAGCUUCUAGAUCAUCUCCUUCUGCAGUAUCAAUGACGGGACUUGCCCUCAGUGUGACACUGGUGAUCAGUGGCAAAGAAAAGGAACUGUUUGUCUUCUGAUACCUCCUUUGUUCUGCCUUGGAUCUCCAAAAUGGGCCUGCAAUAUUUUGUUGAAAUGGUGUUUACGGGCUGUGAAGAAGUGAGAAUCCAGUGAGAUGAUGAGAUGGAGGAUACAACAAUGAAGGAGCAUCUCUCACCAGGAUGAAGAGCAGCACCAGAUAUCAUUAGAGGAUAUUCUUACUGUGACACAUUUGAAUCCUACUAUAGUCCCCUUUCUCACAGGGCACUCCUUUACUGGAUGGACUGCUUCAUCAUAAGUUGCAGGUGGAGUUUAAGAAGCAAAACAAAUGAGCAAAGAAAAAAGAGAGAGAGAAAGAAAAGGACAAACCAAGGAACAUACUCAACUAUAAAGAAAUUGGUGGUUACCAGAGGGAGAUGGAUGGGGGAUGGGUGAAACAGGUGCUGGAAAUUAAAGAUUACACUUCCCAUGAUGUGCACUGAGUAAUGUGUAGAAUUGUUGAACCACUGUAUUGUACCCCCAAAACUAAUAUAACACUCUAUGCUAGCUAUCUGGAAUCAAAAUUUAAAAAACUAAAAAAAAAAGUUAUUGAUUUUAAUGAAGUUCAAUUAUCAACCUUUUCUUUUGUGGCCAAUUCCUUGUAUGUGCUAUCUAAGAAAGCAUUGCCUAAUUUAACCUACGGAGCCACCCAGACACCCCAAGCAUUGCCUACUUUAAAGUUACAGUCUUGGGGGCCUUGGGUGGCUCAGUCGUUAAACAUCUGUUUUCAGCUCAGGUCAUGAUCACAGGAUCCUGGGAUAGAGCCCCACACUGGGCUCCCUGCUCGGCAGAAAGCCUGCAUCUCCAUCUCCCAUU